GACUGAUGAACAAACAUAACAGAUUUUAAACACUGACAUAAAGAACCACAUGGAAAUGAAGAAAAAGAACAUGUAUUUGCUUUGUGAUGACAGAAGGGUUUCACAGCUCGGGAAACAGCACCUUCACCAUGACUGACAGAGGCCUAAUGGCACAUGAAAGGAGUUUUACCUUUUUCAAAGACCUGAGAUACGUAGUAUUUGGACCACCAGUCGAUGACACACUCUGCUGAUUCGUCAGCGAUGGUCCGCCUCCUCCGCUUGGUGGAACGGCCACGGGUGCUCUUUGUUCUGCUGUCCUGGAUUUAAAAUAUACACAUGCAAAUAUUUAGACAGUGGUGCAUGUGAUCAGGUAUGAUGGAGGGCAUCUGGCAUCAGCGCCCCCUGUGGCCGGACAGAAUUGUGGAGAAACAGUGUUAUUAUCUUGCCACAGUGGAUUCCCCGGGCCUCCUUGCUGCUGGAGUACAGCAGGUCUCUGGCUCGGAUUCGAGCGCAGGCAACACGCUUGUUGUUGCUUAGCAACCACACAAAGACGUCGGGAACUGUGUGCUGGGGCUGCAGUAGGAUGUAAAAGAAUUCUUUAAGGAUGAUUCGGAGCAUAUACUCCGCCCCUGGAUCUGACUUCCUGUGUAGCUCGGCUGCACUGUCCACACCCUCCUCCUGAAAGACAAGAUAUUUUUCUUUUUUACUAGGAUGGCAGUGGGCACUGUUUAAAGAGCUAUCAGCCAUAGCACACACAGAGGAGCAACAGAAAACAUCCUGACUGGAAACAUCAUAAACUGGCAUGGUUUGUGCACGGCCCAGGACCAGAGGGCUCUGCAGCGGGUGAUUAAAACUACAUGGGUACCCAUCUCCGGAAAAUCAGUGAUAUCAGUGAGGGGCCUAAGCAGAGCCCAAAGGAUACUACAGGAUAGUACCCACCCCAGCCACAGCCUGUUCACCCUUCUGCCCUCUGGGAAAAGAUAUAGAAGU